GUGGGGAAUCUUAGACAAUGGGCGCAAGCCUGAUCCAGCCAUGCCGCGUGAGUGAUGAAGGCCUUAGGGUUGUAAAGCUCUUUUGUCCGGGAAGAUAAUGACUGUACCGGAAGAAUAAGCCCCGGCUAACUUCGUGCCAGCAGCCGCGGUAAUACGAAGGGGGCUAGCGUUGUUCGGAAUCACUGGGCGUAAAGCGCACGUAGGCGGACCAUUAAGUCAGGGGUGAAAGCCUGGAGCUCAACUCCAGAACUGCCUUUGAUACUGAUGGUCUCGAGUUCGGAAGAGGUUGGUGGAACUGCGAGUGUAGAGGUGAAAUUCGUAGAUAUUCGCAAGAACACCAGUGGCGAAGGCGGCCAACUGGUCCGAUACUGACGCUGAGGUGCGAAAGCGUGGGGAGCAAACAGGAUUAGAAACCCUUGUAGUCC
rnacentral:rRNA from 1 species